GAGUAUCCGGCGGGGCACUUUGUGCGGCUGCGGGUCAGGCUCCAGCAGACCCAGUGCCCGAACCAGCCGGGGAGCAGACAGGACUGCGCCCUCAACCGCAGAGGGAGGAAGCAGAUCUGCCUGGCUUGUGUCAAGUUUGACUCCCGCAGCGGGGGAAAGGUGCUGGGUAGCUACACGCAUUGCAGGAUGGAGAAGCAGCAGUCUGAGAAGGAGAUGGAGACGAGACACGAGGAGGAGUGCAGGACUGUGCAGGAGACGGGCGAAGCGCCCUACCAUCCCGGUGUCCUUGCCUUCUCCGGAGAGCUGCCGUCCUAGCCACCCGCACAUCCACAGCAUGCCAGCCUGGGCAUCUCUGGCGCCCCCCACCCGCGGAAGGACGCUGCUAUCACCGCCACCCAGCGGAGACCCGGCGGCCACCCCUGCCCGUCAGACACUGCGCCCGCUCCAGCACCAGGCCGGGCAGAGCGGCCUGGCCAACGGAUCCUGCUACCCCUUCCCCGCACCCCCGCUUCACUCAGCUCCAUCGCCCGGCUGUUCAUCCCCAAUAAAGCCAGAGCCCCAGUUCGGAAGGGCUGUGCUGUUAUUCAGCCAGGGGCUGCCCUGCCGGCGGAUGCUAAGUGGGGCCAGCCGGCCCCCCAGGGUAUUUCUCAGGUCAUGGGAAUAUGCUGGGCCUGCUCCCGCCAGCCCGGAUUGCCCCCAUGGGUCGUCUGCUCCAGCGCAUCGUCUCCUGCCUGCCGUGGCAGGGCAGCCCAGGAGUCUGUCACCCGCUCUCCCACCCCGCUGGGUCCCCGGGCUCUCCCUGCCUCGCUCAGGGGUGGAGCAUUUAGCUGGGUGUGGUGCCCCCGGGGUGUGGAAAUCACCCCCUGAAGCACCCUCGUGAGUUUCACAGUCCAGCCGCCAGGAAGCAGGAGGGUGCUGGGGCGAAGGACCAGGCCAGGCAGGCAGGGACCUGGGGGACAGAGCCGGGGCGAGGGGUGCAGCCCCCAGAGCAACUCACCAGGGCAGGGGCCUAAGAACCCCAAGCUUAUCAGGCCCCCCUUGUGGAAGGGAGGUCCCGCAGUCCAGCUUGUCGGAGGACAGUCAUCUGUUGGAUCACCCCUGUUUCUUUGGCCAGGGCUCUUAAACUUUCUCCAGUUUCAUUUGCCAUUAUUUCAACUACUGCUUGUAAUCUCAGGAGCCUUUUUGCAUGAGAUCAGAGGGGUGCUGCAUCUGUACCGACAGCUGUUUUCCAACCUGCCUGGACGCACUAAUCUGACUGUCCACCGGGUGCAGACAGGAUCGCACCCGCCUAUAAAAUGCCCCCCCUUCCGAGUCACAGGGAAAACUGCUUAGGACCUGGAAAGAGAGGUCAGGGCCAUGCUGGCUUUGGGGGUGAUCCAGCCCCCACACUCUGUGACACCCAGCAGCCGAGGAACAGGCGCCACCAGAGGCGCAUGUUGGAGGCAAGGCCCUUCUGGUUCUGACAACCUCAACUGAGGGAACCGCAGUCACGGUUUUACGUCCACCAGGCAGCAGGCGCUAGGCUCGCUACUGCUCCUUCUCGGGCCUUGCUUUAGGUCAUCGUCUGCUUCUGGCAACCCUUACGAGAGCGUAGAUUGUAAGGUAUUGCAGGCUGUUCCUCUACGUCUUCUUCUGGAGUCAAAAUUGACUCUGCGCGGGCCUGAGGUGAUGAUCGGUUCGCUGGGGGUGGUGCCUUCUUACACUGUGAAGCAUGUAUCCACGCUGCGAUGCCAGACAGUUUAACAGCCGUCUGGGUAGUAAGCAGUACCUGGUGAGGACCCUUCCCCCGGGGCUCCAAGGCGUGUUUUCGAUGGUGGUGCCGUAUGUAGACCCAAUCACCUGGUUCGAGGUCAUGGCAAGCGUCAGAGGUGGGUUCCGUCAGCCAGGCGGCUCGAACCUGUGAAUGGAAGUGACUUACGGCUUGCAUUAAUCCCUUGCAAUAUUGAAGGAGCGUACUGUGCGUCAAGUUCAAGUCUGGGACUGGAGUAAUGGUAGCCAUAGCUCGCAUAGGACGUCCCAUCACAAUUUCAAAGAGACUCAAUUUAUGCCUUUGGGAUGGAGUGGAUCGCAUUUCCAUAAGGGCCCACGGUAAGGCUGCUGGCCAGCUUAACCCUGUAGAGUCACAAAUUUUAGCAAGCUUAUCUUUAAGUACACCAUUUUGUCUUUCAACUACACCUGCGCUCUGUGGCUGGUAGGGACAGUGCAGCAGGUGUGUGAUAUGUAAUACACGAUCCAGGUGUUGAACAAGUUGUCCGGUAAAAUGUGUACCCCGGUCACUGGACAGAGUGGCAGGAAUUCCCUUGGCAGGCAUAAUAUGAUUUAACAAACAUUUGGCAACAGACAGUGAGUCAGCCUUGCGACAAGGAAAGGCUUCGAUCCAACCAGAAAAUAAACAUACCAUAACCAAAAUGAAUUCAAAUUGUUGACACUUAGGCAUUUGUACAAAAUCAAGUUGCCAAUGC
ensembl:lncRNA